rnacentral:misc_RNA from 1 species
GUUUAAUAGCCUUUGCGGCUAAUACUUGUGAACAAAUAGUUGCGUCUUCCAUCAUCACACAUGCAAGAAGAUGGCACACGUUGGCUAAAAUGCUUGUUUGCCCAGUUGCAAGCAGAUUUAUGAGUAUACUCACUCCACCAGACCUUACUGUUGCUGACCAGAAUCCCUCCGUGCUGUUAGAUAAAUUCUUCAAUGCUCCAGUAAG